rnacentral:rRNA from 1 species
UACGAACCGUACAAACGUUAUUCGGAAUCACUGGGCUUAAAGGGUGCGUAGGCGGCCAUGUAAGUGGGGUGUGAAAUCCCUCGGCUCAACCGAGGAACUGCGCUCCAUACUGCAUGGCUUGAGGGAGACAGGGGUAAGCGGAACUGAUGGUGGAGCGGUGAAAUGCGUUGAUAUCAUCAGGAACACCGGUGGCGAAAGCGGCUUACCGGGUCUCUUCUGACGCUGAGGUACGAAAGCUAGGGGAGCGAACGGG